rnacentral:rRNA from 1 species
GACGAACGCUGGCGGCGUGCUUAACACAUGCAAGUCGAACGGAAAGGCCCUGCUUUUGUGGGGUGCUCGAGUGGCGAACGGGUGAGUAACACGUGAGUAACCUGCCCUUGACUUUUGGAUAACUUCAGGAAACUGGGGCUAAUACCGGAUAGGAGCUCCUGCUGCAUGGUGGGGGUUGGAAAGUUUCGGCGGUUGGGGAUGGACUCGCGGCUUAUCAGCUUGUUGGUGGGGUAGUGGCUUACCAAGGCUUUGACGGGUAGCCGGCCUGGGAGGGUGACCGGCCACAUUGGGACUGAGAUACGGCCCCGACUCCUACGGGAGGCAGCAGUGGGGAAUAUUGCACAAUGGGCGGAAGCCUGAUGCAGCAACGCCGCGUGCGGGAUGACGGCCUUCGGGUUGUAAACCGCUUUCGCCUGUGACGAAGCGUGAGUGACGGUAAUGGGUAAAGAAGCACCGGCUAACUACGUG